rnacentral:rRNA from 1 species
UACGGCGAAGCUCCGAACUGAAGCCCUGGUGAAUGUCGGCCGUAACUAUAACGGUCCUAAGGUAGCGAAAUUCCUUGUCGGGUAAGUUCCGACCUGCACGAAUCGUGUAACGAUCUGGACACUGUCUCAACCAGGAUCUCGGUGAAAUUGUAGUUCCGGUGAAGAUGCCGGAUACCCGCAGAUGGACGGAAAGACCCCGUGAACCUUUACUGUAAUCUGAUAUUGUUGUUCGGGCUAAUAUGUGUAGCAUAAGUGGGAGACUUUGAAGUGGCGUCGUUAGGCGUGUCUGAGUCAUCAGUGAAAUACCACCCUUAUUAGUCUGGGCAUCUAACCGUAUGUCCGUGAAUCCGGAUACGGGACAGUUUCAGAGGGUCAGUUUGACUGGGGCGGUUUCCUCCCAAAAUGUAACGGAGGAGCUCGAAGGUCUACUCAGCAUGGUCGGCAAUCAUGCGUAGAGCGUAAGGGUAGAAGUAGGCUUUACUGUGAGACCGACAGGUCGAGCAGUUGCGAAAGCAGGACUAGUGAUCCAGCGGUGGAAAGUGGUAUCGCCGUUGCUCAUCGGAUAAAAGGUACUCCGGGGAUAACAGGCUGAUCUCCCCCAAGAGUUCAUAUCGACGGGGCGGUUUGGCACCUCGAUGUCGGCUCAUCACAUCCUGGGGCUGGAGAAGGUCCCAAGGGUUCGGCUGUUCGCCAAUUAAAGCGGUACGCGAGCUGGGUUCAGAACGUCGUGAGACAGUUCGGUCCCUAUCCUCUGUGGGCGUAGGAAAUUUGAGGGGAGCAUUCCCUAGUACGAGAGGACCGGGAAUGAGUAACCUCUGGUGUUCCAGUUGUUCUGCCAGGAGCAUCGCUGGGUAGCUAAGUUACGAAAGGAUAAGCGCUGAAAGCAUCUAAGCGCCAAGCCCCCCCGAAGAUUAGGUAUCCCAGGACUUUAAGUCCUCUAAAGGCUACAGGAAGACUACCUGUUUGAUAGGCUGGAGGUGUAAGCACAGCAAUGUGUUCAGCUGACCAGUACUAAUCAGCCGUGAGGCUUGUCCAC